CGCAGUUUCAAUACACUCUUCCAGAUUGUAAAAUUCAUCAUCUUGAUAGGAAAUUAGCAAGAUGUGGGGGAAAACUUAGCCCGUACAGGUAAUCAACUCUCUUUUACCUAGAUAUGCUGUAAAGCUAGCAUAUUAUCUACUACCCCACAUUAGCAGUAAGUGCAACACAAUAUUACAACUUAUACAUACACUGUAGCAAAAAGAACAGGCAGCCACGAGCUUUUGCAUGAAGAUUUUCUCUUAAGGGAUUGAAUGAUGGUUGAAAGCACUACUUAUAAAGGCUAAGAUUUUCUUUGCAUUGGAUCAAAGGUACACCAUCUUCCCGCCAGAUUAUCCUUUCUUCACAUAAUGCUGCCACAACCUCUUUAUACAAUUUAUGUUCCUAAUAAUAGUACAAAAAAAACCAUGUCAUCAAAGAUGAAAAUAUCAGCAAAAAGGUGCAGUGUAAAGCAAAUUUGAGGUGAAUUACACAAAAUUCAAAUCACAGUAGAGAGUGUGUCAGGCUUGAGCUUUUCUAAUCCCUGUUCUUCCCUUCUAUGAUUUCUAGUCUCAAUUUGAAGAAAAGCAUGCACAGUAUACAUUGGAAGGAAUGCAGUGGAUAGGGGGGUAGGAAUACAGAUGAUAAGCCAUAACAAUCGUGAAAAACUUCAACCAGGUGUCAAUUUAUUCAAGGCAGGCACUAAUAUGUUUGAGACAAAAGAAGUUCAAAAGCAAGAACCAGUAAUGGUGCUAAACAGAUUAGCAAUAAACUUUUCUUCCGGUAGUCAUUAAUACAUCUGAAUGAAACAUAGAAUUGCAUAUUUGGCGUGUAAAACCUUACAUAAAACUUCAUUACCUCAUGGAGGACUCUCGCAGCUAGCUCUUCUGCUGUGUCAUUAGGUAGCACGGGUACAAUCCUUUGGGCAAGUAUGCGACCCCUGUCAUACUCCUCAUCCACAUAAUGUAUUGUGGGACCCGAGUAUCUAAGAAACACCGAAAGAAAUAACAGGAAAUUACUUGCUAUAUGAAAGGUAUAAAAAUUUAAAUAAAAGUCUCUUGACUGAAAACAGCUAAGCCUAAUAGAAUUCUAACGUCAAAGAUAUGUUCUACAUCCACGUAGAAGAGGAGUGUAUAUAGACCCAUGAUCUGAUGUUUCACAGUAAAAAUCUCUUCUCACCAGCCACUACCUUCCUCUUCUCCAAUCAUUUAAAAAAAAAAGCAUUGAAAAUGGGAAACAAAGAGAAGAGAAGACCAAAUAUUUUUUGAUGCAAAGAGAAGCAAAACAUGAGUUUGAAAUACUUUAGUAAGGCAUACAUUGACAAAUAUCAGGUAUCAGUUCAAUGACAGGUUAUGCUUGCACUAUCGCAACCCUCAAAUAAUGUUCUGACAGAUAACUAAGCAACUUUGAAGCUCUGCCAUUAAAAUUGAUGGAUUUUACAAAUUAUCCAGCUCAGUCUGGAAACUUAAACCACUUUAAUAGGUAAGGUGUCAAAGAGAUUGAACUGCUGAUAAUACUCGCCAUACAUUUUCUUAACACUUUGAAGGAAAUUCCAUCAAAGACAAAGGACUACCAGAACCAAAAGAAAAAGAAGUUAAACAUCAACGACAGUGGGGACAGGACUAACCUUGCUCCAGAUGCAAUGACUGCCUUAUGCACCUUCAUACUGUAAUAACCUUUGCCUCCAAAAGCUGGAAGAAGUGAAGGAUGGAUGUUCAGUAUGGACCUUGGAAAUGCUCGAAUCAACUCAGUAGGUAUAAGCUUCAAGUAGCCAGCUAAGAGAAUGAAAUCGACCUUGUAGCUUCUGUCAAGUUCAUGGCACAGGGAGAAUUAAAAGAGAAAUGGCGAAGCACGAAUAGCCAUUAACUUCUUUUUUCUUUCUUUUUUAUGGAUUCCUGAUCUUUCUUGAUUUUGCUUUUUCUUUUGUGGGUUAAUUCAUCUUGUUUGGAUGGGAUGCCGAUAUAGAGGAUACCAUUAGUGAUUGAUAAAUGUACUAGCUGAUGACAGAAACUUACUUAGCAUGGAUCGGUUUCACAAUUAUACAUUCAUAUUCAUCAAGAUAUGCAAAUUUUCAAGGACAAAUUUCAGAGAAUAAUUCAUGCUCUUUGGGGAAGGAGAAGUACAUUAUUAUCAUCCAAGCCUCUUAGAUUACAUCACUUUCGUAACUUGAAUCACGCACAUCUAUCUUCAUUGCCUUUCCAUUUCCAAUUUGCAAAUAUCACCACAUGUGAAAACAACCCCUUGAAAUCGAAUCAUAUGCCCAAUCAAUUUCAAACACACUCUAAUAACUACCACAGUUUUCACAUUUUUCCAUAAUCUUUACUAAAGACUUCAAAGAGGGUACAUGUGAGAGUUGUUGGAAACUUUUCAAAAUUUGUAUGAUGUACAUACAUGUAAUUAAUGUAUAUUCAUUAAUUUUUGGUACAUGUAUAGUAUUGUGAAUGUUUCUAAAAUGUACAUUCAUUUAUGAAUGUAUUCAUGUAUAUGGGAAUUAUUGAAUGAAAGGAUAGAUUCAUGUUUUGAUCUAAUGAUCAUGAGAUGCAUGAAUUAAAAUGCAUGAAUGUGUACACAAUACUUUGAAUCUAUUCAUACACAAUACUUUGAAUCUAUUCAUACAAGUGUUUAAUGAGGUCUUUUGUUUCCCAAACAAUCUUCCUAUAUAAAGAGGUCAAGUAGAGAGUGGUUUGCUGCAGAAAAUCACUUUCCUACUAUCCUUACUCUCUCAAAAGCACUCCUUAGUUCAUAAAGGGUUUGUCUUACUUUGUGCAAAAGUUUAAGACAAACAAAACUUCAUCUUAUCCUAAAGGAUAUUUGUCCAAGGUUAUUGCACGUUAUACCGGACAAAUAAAGCCUAAAGGAAAGUGAUAUCUAUCACGAUUUGAAGCCAAUUCUUGUUACUACAUUUGCUAGUCAUUUACAAUUUACCCAACAAGAGUAAGCACACAAUUCAUCACAGCAAUCAUAUAUAAGUUCCAACUGACAAGUUCAAAUCAGGAACCAGUCAUAUUGUAAGACCAAAUGCCUUUCAUGUACCUCAUAUUUCUAUUUACUGUAUACUCUAAGAGGAAGACACUAAAAUAUGGAAAUCAAUGUCCAGUACUCUUCUUUUAUUUAAGCAAAUUCAAAAGCAAACAAGAGCUUUCAGCUAGAGUAUCCAGUAAAUUAAUCCUAAAAAUGAAUUUAGGCAGCAGAAGGACUUCCAGAAGACAUAUUUUCACCCAAAACGUGAUUUUGAAUCAGAUAGCAAAAAUGCUGGCUAAAAACAGGGAGGGAAAAAAAUACCUAAUAGCAUUUACAAGGUCUUUGGAAGACAAACCAGAGUCAUCUUUCACCUUAGGAACAAAAUGACAGGGAUGCCUUUAUCUCUAACGAAGUGUGCACCUCCACAGUCUGUUAUGCAUAAAAAGUCACAAGAAAAAAUGAUCAGAAGACAGCAUAUCUGUUUGGAUCCCCUGUUUUUGGGGUGUUUUUCAAAUACAAUAAAAAUUUUAAAAAGUACUCUAAAAGAUAACCUAAAAAUUAAUUUAAAUUUUUUUAAAAUUUUAAAAAAUAUCUCUAAAUAUAUUCUAAAAACUCUUCUAUUCUUAAAUAUUUCUAAAUAGUUUCUAAAAUAUUCCAAAAUAUACUCUAAAAACUCUGCUGACACUCCACCACUUGCUUGUUUGAUACAAACAAACAUGUAGGACCAUGAUUUCAUUAGUUUAUACUAAAAUGGAGCUAGAAUGCUAUAAAUCCAUAAAGCCUUUAUUAUCACAAGAAUCUUGGUAUUCAGUUCAUUAAUCUCCUUUCACAAACUUAUCGUGGCAUAAUCUUCACAAAACCUUCUCUACAAGUGUUCCUAAACAAAAUUGCUAAAGCCUUUAAACAUGUAUGGCUAGAGGUAGCCCAGAUAGUUUGAUUAUUUCUGCUUUCCCAAAUCAUUCUUCAAAGAUUUAUGGAGGCAAUGCACACUAGCAUGAAUCUAUAAAGGAAGAAAACUAUGCAAUUCAUAUCUAGACAAACCAAAACAAAUGGUAAAGCUUAAAACUUCAUACAAUGAAGCAUUGAAUACCACAAAACCAUAACAUGCAAAAAUUGAAGUGGAGAAGCAAAAAAAUGAAAUACCAAGCUUUCAAUACCAGGUUUAUUGGUGACCAAGACAGAAAUGUCUCCAUGAAUAAAGCCAUUGACAGUUGCCUCAUGAAGUGACUUGAAAUUAGAACCUCCACCAGAAACAAAAACAGCUAGAUUUUUCCUCCUAACUUUUGCUCUUACACUAUCCUCAAGCACAUUAGGACCAACUAUUUCACUAUGUACCUCCUCAACACUACCUCUUAUCCUCAAUCUUUUCUCCAUAAUUGUAAUAUUUGAAGGAAAAGAUAAAUGGGUCCUCAAGAGAACUUGUUUUGAACUUGAAAAGACGCAAACUUUAAGGCAUAACACGGGGUUUUAGGACCAUGAAUGGUAGAAUAAUUUCCAAAAAUAGAGCUAUGAGCUUCCUUUUUUUUUCCCUCACUGUUUUCUCACAACAUUAUCUAUCAUAAAUAAUAGCAUCCCUCAUCAAGUGUAGAUGAAAACGAAUUAACGAAGAAUAAAGGUUCAACUAUUGGACUAGCUAGUGUAGUUGCAGAAGCCUCUUUUCUCCUUGGGAUCAUGGACGAGGAUACAGGGGAAGGAAGGGCUUUAAAGGAAGUGGGAUGAGGUCAAUGUAUUUGUGCACUGGGAUUCUGGGAUGUCGAAGGAGGCAGUGAUGGUGUUGGAGGGCGGAGGCCGCGGAAGAGGACGAAAGCUGCGGAAGAGUGAAGAAGUAGGGGUUGGCGCUUGAAAAUCGAGAAAAAGAGGCAGAGGCAGAGCAAAGUAGGAAAAAAAAUUGUAGUAUAGUUAUUUUACAGAAAAACCUCCUUUAGUUUCAAAUCAUACAUAUCGGUACCCCAUGAUUUGAAAUAAACUGAAAAAAUCAUCGAAAAUCGUUAAAUUUGAAGCGUUUGAUGUAAACGCAUUGGAAAUGCACGAGGUUGGUUCUUCCAAAAAUAGCUUUGUAAGGUAAAUUUUGACCUAAAAAACCUAUUUUGCUCCUCAUGCCUUAAUAAAACAACCAUGAUUUUUCUUCAAAUUUGCUCCAAACUUGUAGAAAUCGACAUUUUUUGCUUAUAUCAUUUGUGAAUGAAACUAAUGAAUAAAAAAUAGUUUGUUUUAGGCUAUUUUUUACUUAUAUUGUCAGGGCAUUUCUCUCAUUUCACUCAAAACAGUUUUUUUAACAAUUUCUGUCAAUGUUUUAAAUUAUUUCGAACCAUGAGGUACCAAAGCGGUUUUUUAUAAGAUAGCUACACUAUAUGGGACUUUUUGUUGUUUACCAAAAAAAUAUGUUUAUUGGAUAGUUUUCUAUUAUUAUUAUUACUGUUGUUAUUAUUAUUAUUAUUUAUUAUCUCCCUUAUUUCAUUUUUCUUACAGAUUUUCUUUUAAAUUUUCUCAGCAUUCCCAAGCACAGUUAUUGAUAAGGGUAUUCUAAAAUACGUUUGAAGUGGCAAGAAAAGAAAAAUCAGAAGUGAGUAACCACGAAAAAUUAGGAUGACUUGAGAUAAUUAAUGGAAGAGUAGUAGCUGACACAAAAUAAUCUAGGGGAAAAAAAUGUAACGUUUUCUGUGAAUACAAACAAGAACGGAUAGAAUUUCAGUUAGAAUGGUGAUCAUUUAAAAGAGAGGAUCAUGGUGAGAAUUUCAUUCAUUGACUUGAAAUAUUUUCCAAUGAAAAAGAGGAUAAUGGUGUAAAUGUGUUCUUCUCCCCAUGCUAAUGUUGCAUCUCUGCAUUUUUUUUUUCCUGGGUAGGAUCGUGUAUUAUUCUACAAUCCGAUCCUGCAAAACUAUUCGGUGCAGAUGCAGGAUUCCGACUUUAUAAACUUUGGUAAAAAUUAGCUUAGUAGAGUAACAAAAGUAGUCUGUUGCCACCACAGCAGCAAGUACAGUGACAAUUGCAGUAAAUCUUUUCGUACAGAAGCUACGAUUAUAGAAGCAAUGACAACCAGCUCUGAAAUGGCUUUUGCAAUUGAGAGAAACUGGACUUCUAUUUGCAGAUGUUCUGAUUGUCAAGAGAUAAUUAACUGAUAUCUUGAGAUUGAAGGAUUCCUUCUCGAGCUAUUUUUUGCCUUUGUUCACAGGCAGGAAUACAAAAUGUUGGGCACUCAUCGGCAAGAUUUGCCACAAAGCUUCUUCAUCAUGUCAAGUGGGAGUUAGAAUUCCCCUAUGGCUUGAAAGAGAAGCAUAAAAUUAUGGUCAGGCAGUUGUGCAAUAAAUAUACAUCUACAAGUGACAGUUUAUACCCUCCACCACAUCCCCCCACCGUGCCUCCCCACAAAAUAUAAGAGGAAGGGCGGUGUUGGGGGGUUGGUUUGUUAACAUAUCUAACAAUGAAAUUCCUGUUGUACAGAAUCCAUGUUCUAAUAGCAAUUUUCGUAGGCAUAACAUGUUCGCUGUUCACAGAUGAAAACUUGAUGUUUGAUCAAUGAUGCGACUGCCGAAGUGAAGGUCCGAACUGGCCGGGUGCCUAGGCAGCGAGCUGGUCAAGCGUUCGACCUGCACGGGAAUGAGCUGCGGGGCUAAGUCCCCUGAAGCAACUCCGACGAUCAAGUCAGAAUAUAUUCGUAAGUAGAAGAGUAGGGUUUACGCUAUGAGAAGCGUACCUUGUGUUUUUCCCACGCGUGGUAUUUAUAGGGUCACAGAUAGUAGUCUCCUAGUAGAACAGGGAGUCCUUAUGGGAGCAGAACUCUCCCUAGGGCUCCAUAACUCAGUUAAGGCGUGCUUGGGCUCUGCAGCCCGCGCGGCCCAUCGGCUUGGGGAGACCGCGCCCUCUGGGCCCCCAAGCCGACCUGCUGGGCCGAGAACCUCCUUCGAGCCGAGCUUGCAGGCCAGGCCGACGUGCACGUGGGCCCCACUAGACUAGCCCCCCCUCAAGUCUAGAGUCAUCGAUCGUGCGCGUGAAUCUAGGCCAAAUUCCAGGAGAUCGUGUCAGCUCAUUGUGGGGCCCCCCGUCAGAGAGUGGCGCAAGCAACCGUCGCGUCAGUUCGCGCCUGUCACCUCAACCGUCACCUCGGCUAAUUAGUGCGGUUAGGAACGGUUCCCCAUAAACUGUUCGAAUAAAUGCGCGCCUCUUCGCUUUCCCGCGCUGUCGUUGCCUAUAAAUAGGAUCCUCCAAGCGUCAUUUUCACUCUCCUUCUCUCAUUUCCUCAGUUCGCUCCUUCAAUCCCUAGCUCGCUGCCUCAUCCUUUUCUCUUCGAGAACACGUCGGGUCGCCCCGCCUUAGGAGCCCAGAGUCAGCCCGCGCAUUCCUUAGAUCAUCCUUUCACCAGUAAGUCCCCCUUUCCUUUUUAUGUCUUCUUACAGUUCUGAUAGUUCUGACGUCACCAGUUCAGCCCAUAGGCAUAGAGCAGCUAGCCCCAUACUCUUAGAUAGCAGCUCUUCAGAUUCCUUUAGCUCUUCUCCUUCUAUUUCAUUUGGACCGAGACCAAUAGCCUCUCCUAACCUGUCCCCUGUUAGAGUAAUGAGCCCAGCCGAGCGACCUGCCCAACCUCUAGUCGGAGCAGCUGAACAGGCAGCUCCGGAUCAGAUGGCAGCGGGGACCUCGAGGGGCCAAGUGGCGACUUCGGAGAGGUCGACACUAUUCCCCCAGCCCUGGAGCAAAAAGAUGUUGACGAGCUGGCGGAAAAAUAUGAAAUCCCAGCCCAAUUCGAGCCCAGGGCCGCGCGUCCAAGGGAGGUUGCCAGCCGACCUCCCACUGGUUUCGUGGCGAUCUACAGGGACCAGCUGAUGGCUGGCCUCCGUCUGCCCAUCCCCAACUUCCUCUUUAUUCUUACCUUCUGGGGUAUUCGCAUAACCCAGGUCAUUCCCAACGCUGUUCGCUCUAUCAUAGGCUUCUUCAUCCUUUGCCGAACACUCGAAAUUCCCUUUUCUCUCGACCUGUUCCGUGCCUUCUUCCAGAUGAAGGUCAGCGGGAAGGUGCCAGGGUGGUUCUACUUUGCCCGCCGAAGUGGAGCAAAGACCCCACCCGCGAGCUGUUCACGGGGGCACCUUCCUCUAUCAAGGACUGGAAGCCCCAGUCCUUUUUCAUGAAGAACCUAGGUUUUCCUCCCCUUAUUUGGAGAGUAGAGACUCAAGUCUCAGAUCCCCUUCAAUCCCCGCUCCCCGUGUCCGAGCUUAGCCGCCUACUCAGCUCGGACGCGAAGCUGGACGUGAAAGAGUUCAGCAAUGACCAGCUUUGGGCGGCGGGGUUGAUCCGAGCUAGCUCCUCGGAUCCCUCGCCAGAGGACAGGCCACUCACCCCGGGCGAGCUGGACACCUGUAACUAUCCUGCCCUUCCGUCUUUUCCUCUUUUUUUUUGUAUACAUGGGCAUCUGCUGACCUCCUGGACUUCUGUUUGUGCAGUGAAGCGGUUUUCCUCACUUCUGUCCAUCGGUGGUACUACCAACCCGGGCGCUACCACUCAGAGUCCAUCGGCCAUCCCAGCCAGCUCGGUGCCAGCUCCCAUACCUCAGCCAGCUCCCGCCCAAUCCUCCAAGGCGGUUGAGGCUGGGAAGAAAAAGAAAAAGAAGACAACUGCUAAGAGAGCCAGGGUGGAGACGCCCUCGUCCCCAGCUCGGGAGGAGAGGUCAACACCUGAGCCUGCCCAAGGUGGCCACUACGGUGUGAACACCGCCGAAGAGCAAGCCCGAGCUGAAGCUCCCCCUAACCUGUGGCAACGCCAGAGCUCCCUGCUCUUCGACCCCCAGACUCGGUUGACGACGCACCAGCACCCCAUGCACUUCUGCCCCCAGUGGAAGCUAUCCAUAAAUGACCGGGCUCAGUUCCCCCAGGUGGCGCGGGAGCUCGCUCACGGGCCAUCCUCCCACGGGACUACAAUUUGACCAAGGCCAUGGAGUCAUCCGACCUCCUCAACUACUUCUACACGGGAACGGCUCAGGUGAACCUGGUUGGGUCCGAACUGGCCAAGCGCUACGAAAGCCUGCUCCCCCUGCUGAAUGAAACAAAGGCGGCCAACGAGAAACUGCUCAGCCAGAACGAAGCAGCUGUGGCCGAAGCUGAAGGCCUGAAGAAGCAACUCGCGCAGGUCCAUACAAACUUCGAGCUAGAGCUGAAGAAAAAUUCUGAGCUGACCUCCCAGCUGAAAGAGGAGCAGCAGAAGGCAGCCGAGCUGGCGGCUCAGGCGGAAGCGGCCAGGGCUGAGGGAGGCCAGGAGGGCGUGCGGCCUUCCUCAGGUCGGAUGACUUCAGGGGCGAUCUGGCUAUCUUAAACACCCCCGUUCUGCAACAUGGGUAUUCCCAAGCCCUGAAGGAAGUGCAAGGGCUAGGUCUGCCCGGGUUCGACCUGGAAAACUUUUCCAGCUACAAUCCCCUGGCCGUGGAGCAGCUCGACCGCUUGGUAGAGGGUUACACUCAUGGACGGAAAUUGACCGACCUGGUCGCUGACCCCCUGCUGCCAGUGACCACCCCCGAAUCCGAGCAGGAGGAGGAGAGGGAGAACUAGAGUAAGGCUUAGGAUAGGACCCGAACUGUCAGUAGGCAGUUCGUUUUGUAUGAGCUCUGUUCUUCCUUGUACAGUUUUUAUUGAAUGAAAUGAAAAGCCUUCCUCUUGCUUUAUACUUAAUCGCAUUCGCAAAGUUUCUCACAAUAAGACAUAUCAGUUCGGCCCUAUGCCGACCUAAACGAGCUAUUCUAUAAGCUGAAAUAACUUACUAGCCAAAUACAUUAACAUUAAUCAAAGUCUUGACCUUGAAACGAACUGUCAUGCGCGAAGUUAAGUUGGAAUUGUGCCAAGUACGCGGGACCUCUUCUCCGCUUAGGUGAGUUAACUUGCAGUAUCCAGCUCGGUCCGCUUCUUUCACCACAUAGGGUCCUUCCCAAUUUGGAUCCAGCUUGCCCAUGCCCCGAAACCGACUUACGCUGUUCUUCCUUAGGACCAGGUCCCCUGGUUUGAAGGAUAGAGGCCUCACCCUAGCAUUGUAAUGUCGCGCAACCUGUCCUUUAUACUUAGCCAUGCGUAUAGCCGCCUCUUCUCUCCUUCCUUCCAGCAAAUACAGGUUAAGACGCAGCUCAUCUUCAUUGUCCUGAGCUAUGAAGUUCUGCACCCUGUUCGAAGGAACACCUAUCUCUGCAGGAAUCACAGCCUCUGCUCCAUAGGUCAGAACGAAAGGAGUCUCCUGAGUGGCAGUUCGGGGAGUGGUUCGGUAGGCCCAUAGUAUGGUGGACAGCUCGUCCAGCCACCCAGCUCGAGCGGACUCCAUCCGCGUCUUCAAACCAUGCAGGAUAGUCCUGUUAACGUUUUCGACCUGCCCGUUGGCUUGGGGAUGACCCACCGAGGUGAAGUGCUGCCGGAUUCCGAGCUCCGUGCACCAACCUUGGAGAGAACUGUCCGCGAACUGUCGCCCAUUGUCUGAGACUAGGACCCGAGGUAUACCAAAUCGACAAACGAUGUUUCUCCAGAGAAAUUUCUGAACCGACCUGCUGCUAAUGGUGGUGAGGGGCUCGGCCUCCACCCACUUGGUGAAAUAAUCCACCGCCACCACUACGUGCUCAUAGCCUCCAGGAGCUCGAGGGAACGGACCCAGCAAGUCUAUCCCCCAUUGGAAGAAAGGCCAAGGGCUCUGAAGAGGCACCAUCUCCUGAGUUGGGGCGUGGUGGAUCGGAGCGUGCAGCUGGCAGGGUUUGCACCGAGCUACCAGUUCGGCUGAGUCCAAGAAGAUAGUGGGCCAGUAAUAUCCAGACAACAUUCCUUUUUUGGCCAAAACUCUUGGUCCGACAUGAUUCCCGCAGAUACCCUCAUGCAGCUCACGCAGGAUAUAGUCUCAUUCCUCCGGAGUUACGCACCUCAACCAUGGACGCAGGUAUGAUUUUUUGUAAAGUACCCCAUUCGAGAGCUCGUAUCCCCGCGACUUGAGAAGGAUCCGUCGUGCUUCCACCCGACUUGAGGGGAGUUCUCCAUUGGCCAGGUAUCGCACGAGGGGAUCCAUCCAGGAGCUCACUACUUGAAUAACGGCCGCAUCUACCUGAUCAUAUGCCCGAUUCCUGACGACCUCCACCAAGACCUUUUUGUUCAAUGUGCCCACUGAGGUGGAGGCGAGCUUGGACAGUGCGUCUGCCCUCUUAUUCUGGCUUCGCGGGACCUGCUUGAGCGUGAACAAUUUGAACUGAGCUCUCAGCUCAUGCACUUUUGCGACGUACCUUCUUAGUGGCUCCUCCUUGACUUCAUAACUUCCCCCUACCUGAUUUACUAUCAGCUGCGAAUCGCUGUAGACUUCUAUUGAUUCGGCCCCCAACUUUCGAGCUAUCACCAUCCCCGCGACCAGGGCCUCGUAUUCGGACUCGUUGUUGGAGGCCCUGAAAUCAAACCUUAGGGCGUAGGCCAAUUCAUCCCCCAUGGGGCUGGUCAAGAGAAGUCCUGCUCCGCAUCCUUCCUGGCUUGACGACCCGUCCACGAACAGCGUCCAGGUCGGAAUGGACUGACCUACCUUUCCCGCGGCCUGCUCGUAUUUCACAGCUUUUCUGACCUGCUCGGCCUCCGCUGCGUUUCCGUUCAGAUCGUCCGUGGCUUCCGUUGUGGCCUGUAUGACCUCGGCAGGUUCCCUGGCAUGCUCGGCCUCGCUGCGUCUAUGGUAUGUUCGGCCUUGGAAGUCUUAGCGAACUUGGUGACCUCGGCAGCUUCUCCGGCCUGCCUGGCCUCAGCUGCGUCUUGGGUCAGCUCGAACCUGGUGGCCUGCGCGACCUCGGCAGCCUCUCCGGCCUGCUCGGCCUUAGCUACGUCUCUGGACUGCUCGGCCUGCGAUUCCUGUUGCCCAAAGGAAAUUCCUUCGGCUAUGAAAUCUGCUAAUGCUUGGGCUUUAAUGGCCGUGCGGGUUGGUAGCUGAGAUCGUACUCGGACAGCUCCACAGCCCACCUCACCAUUCUUCCCGAGGCAUCGGGUUUCGAAAGAAUUUGCUUGAGAGGCUGGUCGGUCAUCACUAUCACGGGAUGAGCUUGGAAAUACGACCUGAGCUUUCGGGCCGCGUGAACUAAUGCCAGAACAUACCGCUCAAUCGAGGUGUACCUUGGCGCCGCGCCCUGCAGAGCCCGGCUGACAUAGUAUACGGGCUUCUGGAUUUUGCCCUCUUCCCGAACUAGAACCGCACUGACUGCCUCCUCCCCUACCGCCAGAUAGAUGAAUAAGGCUUCUCCUUGCGCGGGAGAGGUCAAGGAUGGCAACUGAGCGAUGUGGGCUUUUAGUUCGUCAAACGCUUGCUGACACUCGGGGGUCCAUUCAAACUGAGGCCCUCUUCGCAAAGCUUUGAAGAAAGGGGAACCCCGAACUGCAGAUUUGGACAAGAACCUGUUUAGGGCCGCCAUCCUGCCCGCCAGCCGUUGGACCUCUUUUAUGCUUCGGGGAGGAGCCAUAUCCAUGAUAGCCUUUACCUUGUCGGGAUUAGCUCUUACUCCGUCCUUAGAUAUCAUGUACCCAAGGAACUUGCCCAACCUAACCCCGAAAGUGCACUUCUUGGGGUUUAGCCGCAUCCGCGAGCUCCUUAGUACGCCAAAGAUCUCCCGAAGGUCGCAGAUGAACUGCUCCUGAGUCCGGCUCUUCACCAGCAUGUCAUCCACAUAUACCUCAAUGUUUCGGCCGAUCUGGCUUCUGAACAUCUUGUUGACCAGGCGCUGAUAGGUCGCGCCAGCAUUCUUUAACCCAAAGGGCAUGGUAGUAUAACAGUACGUGCCGUACUCGGUGAUGAAGGCAGUCUUCUCCUGAUCCUCCUCAUCCAGGGCUAUCUGAUGAUACCCUUUGAAGGCAUCCAGGAAACAGAAGAUCUCGCAUCCAGCAGUCGAGUCUACCAGCUGGUCGAUGCGAGGGAGGGGAUAACAAUCCUUCGGACAAGCUUUAUUCAGGUCGGUGAAAUCCACGCACAUUCGCCAAGCCUUGUCCUCCUUUUUGACCAGCACCGGGUUGGCCAGUCAGGUCGGAUAGUAGAUCUCUUUCACAAUUCUGGCGUCCAACAGUUUGCCUACCUCUUCUUUGACAACCUCGUUGCGUUCAGGUGCAAAGUUUCUCUUCUUCUGCUUCACUGGCAGGAUGCUCAGAUCCACAUGCAACUUGUGAACUGCCAGUUCAGGAGGAACUCCCGGCAUGUCAUCAGCCACUCCAAGCAAAGAUCUCGGCGUACUCCUCCAGGAGAGACUCCAGGGCUCUCCUCGUCAGCCCGUUUAGUCCAGAUCCCGCCCUAACCACACGAUCAGGCCGCUCGGGGCAGAUAGCCAAUUCAACCAGAUUCUCGUCCGUCUCCAACCUCUCCUCCUUCUCAGUAGGCUCCCAGGGCUCCAGAAGGACUGUCUGCGCCACCAGCUUCUCCUUACCCUUGAGGGUUGCGAUAUAGCAGGCUCGUGCUACCUCCGGGUCUCCUAGCACCUCGGCCACCCCUCAGGCGUUGGAAACUUCAUGCUGAGGUGCAAGGUCGAGCAGACAGCUCGAAGUGCGUUUAAUGUGGACGUUCUAGUAUCAUGUUGUAGGAGGACGGCUCCUUUACCACUGCAAAAUUCACCGGGAUAGUUCGGCACUUCGGCGAUUCCCCCACAGUGACCCUGAGAGUUAUCAUUCCCUCUGGUCUUACGGGCGGACCUGCAAAUCCUAUCAGAGGAGUUCAAACCGGAAUGAGCUGCUUAUCCUCCAACUGCAACUCUUUGAAAGUUUUGUAGUACAGCACAUCGAUGGCGCUCCCAUUGUCGAUGUAUACCUUCUUUACUUUGUAGUUGCACGUGAUGACUUCUAUCACAAUUGCCUCAUGGUUGUUAGAGGCUAAGGGUACCCGUCCUCUGGCCCAUAGAUGAUCUCCUCGUACAUCUUUAAACGUUUGUUCGAGCUCUCCCCGCGGGGAGAGGCCGGUUGUUCCGCCGAGCCGUAUGGCUAUCUCCCCCCGCAAGUCCCCCUGCAAUGGUGUUGAUUACCCCGGCUAGGUUCUGGUCCCCCCGCUCCGGAGUCCGAUCACGUGGACCUCGAGGUCGGUCGUGCGAGCUGGUCGUCCGAUCUCGCUUGAAUCCCCCUGGCUUCUGAUCUGCUCGCCCGUCACGGACGAACUGCCCGAGAUGACCUCUUCGUAUCAGCUUUUCGAUUUCCUUCUUAAGGUGGCGGCAGUCCUCGUAUCGUGCCCCACAUCUCGGUGGUAUGCACAGUAGAGGUCCUGAUCCCGUCUACCUUUGUCCCCGCCAAGGGUCGGGGAGGUCGGGGAAAGCCCCUCCUGCUCCAUCACUGCAAGGACCCGAGCUCUGGGGCCGUGAGGGAAGUCCAAGGCUUAUCUCCCCCCAGGGGCCGGCUUCUCGGCGGAGGGUUAUAGGUAUUCUUUCGCCCCUGGUCACGUCGCACGUCUCCCUGGUCGGUGAUCCUUCGGCGUUUGUCGUCCCUUUGCCUCUCCUGCGCGCUUUUCAAGCGAUUGGCUUCCUCAGCAUUGGCCUUCUCGUGAGCUCGGUCCAGCAUCUCCCGAACUGACUUGGGCGGUCUCUCCACGAGCUCAGUGUAUAGCUUCUGCUUCCGCAGCCCGUUAAUGAAGGCAGCCAUCACCACCUUGUCGUCUCGGUCGCGGACCUGGAGGGAUUCGUUAUUGAACCGCACCAUGUAUUCGCGCAGUGAUUCCUCAGUCCUUUGCUGGAUGGUCAGGAGGUGAGCGGUGCUCUUAGAGAAGGCUCGCGAAGAAACGAACUGUGCUGAGAACAGUCGUGCGAGCUGGGUAAAAGACCUGAUCGACCUGGGAGAAAGUCCCUGGAACACUGCCGGGCUCUUCCUUCCAGGAACAUCGGGAAAGUCUUGCACCUGACCGCAUCUGCGGCCGUUUGUAAGCGCAUCUGCGUCAUGAACACUAACAGGUGGUCUUCCGGAUCCGUAGUUGCGUCAUAAGAUUUCAUGUUUGGGAUUUUGAACUUCGCGGGUAGUUGGUAGUCCUCAAUAUCGAGCGCAAAGGGGGAAGCAAUGUACCUGUCCGCCUCAGGGUCCAGUAGUAGGUCCAGCUCGUCCUGCACCUGUUGUCGCUCCUUCCGGGGGAAAAGCCUCCGGACGGGCUCCGGGUGUUCAGUUCGGGAGUUCUUGUGAGAGGGUUCUAUGACCUCGACCUGUUCACGCGUGAGUUCCCGGUGCGCCCGCUUGGCCCCGUGCUUGGGACUCCCAGUUCGGGACUCCGACAGGUCGGCUCCCUGGACCUUUGGCUCCUUGUCCGAUUGACCUCCCGUCUGCCCUUUGAGGUAGUUCAUGAUCGCCUCAAAGGUGGGUAGGUUUUCCGCCACCGUCUGAACCAACUGUUCGGGCGGGAUUCGUGAGGGCCCUACUCCUCCUUCUUCAGGGGUUGGAUCCCGAGGGGAGUUUUGGGGGCCGCUUCGCUCCGUCCCCUUGGAUCCGCCAGCGUUUCUCUGCGACCUAGUUUUCGGCAUGAUUCGCGAAGAAAAGUAACGUGUUCCCACAGACGGCGCCAAUUGAUGCGACUGCCGAAGUGAAGGUCCGAACUGGCCGGGUGCCUAGGCAGCGAGCUGGUCAAGCGUUCGACCUGCACGGGAAUGAGCUGCGGGGCUAAGUCCCCUCAAGCAACUCCGACGAUCAAGUCAGAAUAUAUUCGUAAGUAGAAGAGUAGGGUUUACACUAUGAGAAGCGUACCUUGUGUUUUCCCACGCGUGGUAUUUAUAGGGUCACAGAUAGUAGUCUCCUAGUAGAACAGGGAGUCCUUAUGGGAGCAGAACUCUCCCUAGGGCUCCAUAACUCAGUUAAGGCGUGCUUGGGCUCUGCAGCCCGCGCGGCCCAUCGGCUUGGGGAGACCGCGCCCUCUAGGCCCCCAAGCCGACCUGCUGGCCGAGAACCUCCUUCGAGCCGAGCUUGCAGGCCAGGCCGACGUGCACGUGGGCCCCACUACAAUCAACAUUUACCGUCGCUUCAUCAGCGUCUACAAAAGACAUACACGUAAAGCACAUUUUCUUUUCUUUGGUUGAUUCUUCCCGACCAUCAUUCUCUCAAAAUUGUUCUUCGGACCUCUCUCAUCAAAAGGAGAAAUAUGUUCUUGUAUCACUCUCCUUAUGGAUUUUGACUUUGGUGCAGGAGGGACCUUCUUUUUCUCUGUCUUUUCCUUCUUCUUCCCUGACCAUCUUAGAGGAUAAAAAAUGGACUGGGCAGGUCUUCAUAAAUAGUAGAGCCCCUUCAACCAUGGUUCAAAGUCGUGGUCGCGGUCACGGUUGCGGCCCGGAACGUUUCACAUCGGUUUCGGCAUAUCGGUCACGGUCUCGGUGAGACGCAAAUUUUAAAAUAUUUAAUAUUCUAAAAAUUGUUAAUAAUAUAAAAAAAAGUAUGCUAAACAAAAAUAAUAAAAAAUAGCAAAAGAAAUGGCCGAGUCAAUCCAUUACGGUGUAAUUCGGCCAAUUUCUCGUCUUGACUCGGGAUAACUCGAAGCGACUCGGUGUGACUCGGCCGAGUCAAUCCGUCGCGGUGACGUCUCGGCCGAUUUCUCGGCGAGUCAAGUAUCUCGGUAUCGUUUCGUCACGGUAUCGUAUCGGUAGGGACCGAGACGGUGACGACUCGGCCGAGACUUCGAACCAUGCCUUCAACUCCUUGGUUCUCUGAAUGGAUUUUAUAUCUAAGAUUUCCAGGCCUUCUGCAAUUUUUUACUAACGUACUAAGCUCCGCCAAAUACACCAACUGUCAAUAGGCCAGCAACAGCCUGCCUUGCACUUGAAAUCAUAACUUUGUUCCUGAGAAGCUUCUGCAUACACUUUGCAGCCUCUUCUUUUGAACCAAUUACAACUUCUUGUUUAACUCGACCUACAAACCAAAUGCCAAUUACCUUAGUUGUAUACACAAAAGGCCACGUGGAGGUCCAAGUCAACAACUUGUAGAGCAUGUGACACAUUAAUCCAUAAAAUAAGCAACAUCAUACCAAGACCAACUAAACAAAUGAAUGAAUGAAGGUCCAUACCCAAUUCAUCCAGUAUUUUCUUCUCUCCAACUUUUAUCCCCAUUUGACUUCUGAUUGGUGGUGGAAGAGAAGAGACAAGUUUUGAAGCAGCAGAUGACCCACAAUCCUUAUUUUAACAGUUCAAAGUAUAUAUUAGAAAAAGAGUAAAUCUUAUAUACACUGAUAGUGUAUACACUAUUACCAUUGGAUCUAUGACAUAUGUGCAAAAGUUGAAUUUCAAAUACAAUACAUGAUAAAUAUCAGAUCUUCUGAGACCAGGUUUGACUAUAAACAUGCACUUUCAGACUACGUAGUAUCAAAUUUCACUGGUCACAAGUAGAGAAUAUCCUAUACAGAUGCAACUAAUCUUGUAAACAGACUCUAGAGAAAAGUACACCAACUUAGAGUGCUUUAAAUCGCAUGAAACCUAAUAUAGCCUCAAUAAAGAAAAUCUGAGAAAUCAGAAGUUUCCCUUAGAAGCUCAGACAAGUGAGAAGCAGCUGACAGUCGACAGUCAUUUGAAACUUGAUAAAUUGAAUGCUUAACAUAGAUGACAAAAAGCGUUCCAUUUCAAAGAACAAACAGAAAAGUGUACUACAUGCCAGAUAACAUCAAUAAGAUUUGACCUUUUCAAAGAAAACACAAUGAUGCUAGUCAUACAGCAUUCAAUUACAAAGUAAAUCAGUGAAGAGGUCCCGACUACUGAUUGUCCAAGCCAAUAUUUUUGGCAAGCUAGAGGACAUAACUUGAUCACAGAAAUGAUAGGUGAGGGAAAAUUGAGUUGAGUUUAAAUGUUUAACAAAAAAAAUUGAAUUGAAAGAUAACAAGAACUGGAAGAAUGAGUUAAAUUCAUGUAGCUAGCUAAAAAAUUUAGACAUACCUACCUGAGAUACAGUUACUUGAGCAUCACCAGAAGAUGAAAGUCUCAACAAGUCCUUGGCUGCAUAUUCUUCAAGGAAAGGGUUAUACAUUCUAUGAAACAAACUGAACUGCCCUUGGACAAUCUUUUUCACCUGUGGACAGAUUGGCAUUUCUGUUAAAUAGAAUGAUGAUACUCAAAUAAACAAAAGAACCAGCAUCGCCCUAAAUCUUCUCAAGCUUACAGCUAUGCCAUAUAAAAGUCAUUUCUAAAAAUUUAUUUCAGGGAAUAACACCUUUGAUGGUGGAGCUUUAGGCAUGGUUCUCUGGCACUUUUUCAAGAACUUAGAGAAUUUCAGGAAUGGAGGCGGGCAUAAACCUGACCUCCAACUCAACCACAAGAACAAGUGGACCCCAGCCUGUCAAGUCUAAUCAGUCCUACGUUAAGAAAGGAACAUCACUUGAAGACAAAAUUUAAAUUAGUUUGACAGCUGACGCUAUAACUAGAUAAAGUAUCAACUGGCUUAUAAGAAUCCCUAUAUUUGAUCCACUCCGAUGAUUGGUACCUUACACAGAAGCCCUUAAUAACUCGACUUACAUGGUCUAAAUACCAAGGACGCUGCCAAUGAUCGUUCAGAACACCAACAAGGAUUUCAGGAUCCAGCCCUACUUGUAAGGGGAAAAUAUUGUAAGAAGUGCACAAAUUAAUGCCAUCAGGAGAGCCAAAGUCUGCUGUUUCUUAAACUAGUAUCUAGUUGGUGAUAUAGCACACAAAAUAAAACAUUGGAGAAAACUAUUGAUCUGAUUAAGAAUCGAGGAAAGAUAUGUGUUUAAACUUUGUCAAAAUAGGUGCUAGAAACAGAAGCCAUGUCCAUCUUGUAUGAUAAAACCAACAAGAAAAGAAAGGAUCUGUAAGCUGUUGAUAAUUCCAUGUGACAAAAGACGUGUAGAAGGAGAAGAUAGAGCUUUUCUUGUGCUACCAAAAGCCAUAUCUACUGCAAAUCUCCCAGAGUUUCAAUCAGCUUACUUUAUUUUUGUCUUCAGCAAAGAGCAUUCUUAAGUCGCCCAUAUAUGAUAGGCUACAUAUUUUGGCAUAUAGAUCCUCCUGCAAAACAUGCCAAUUUUUAGAAGACAGAAGAUAAGUUUAUGAAUCAAACAUAAAACAUCACAAACCAGCAAACCUCUGUAAACUUGGAUGGCAAAAGGAGAAGAGCAGCAGAAGUUGCAGCCCUCAGAUUAAUGUGAUUCAGAUUUUCAAGAUCCAAACUAUCCAUGAUUAUAUUUACCUACAAGCAAAAUGAUAUAUUCGAAUGUGAUAUAAGCUUCAGUGCAACUUAUUAAGCAUUUAAAGAUGAAAUGCAAAUGGACAUUUUCUAAAUUUAAGUAUAACGGAAAACAUUUCCAUGAAAACUUCACAAGCCAAGUCCUACCAGAAAAAGCAAUUCAUUGAAAAUUGGAGCACUUUGAAAUAAAACAUACAGGUUUUUGCAAGCGGCCACAAGGGUAGAAUCUCUGCCAUCCCAAAAUGUCGUUAAUCAAGUCAUCCAUUCUAACAACUCCAUACUUAUACAUCUGCCAAAAUCAGUUAAAGGUAAAAUUACAAGAAAGAUAUACCGCAAGGCAUUGAUAGAACCCAUGUAAAUGUAAGUCAACAACCACUUGAACUUCACAGAGUUGUGGUGUGUUCAAUUCCUCGCACUAAAAGCACACGAAAGAGACACAUGCCAGCUCAUAUCAUCAACCAAAACCAUACACUCUUUAUGUUUUCGACGGACAAAAGAAAAAUAUACGCAUUCAUUUGAAAUGGUAGAUACCUUAUCAUUCAACGAAACAAAUAGAUUGAAGUGCACGCCAACGCCAAUAUCAUCAGCUACGCCAGCAAUCUAUUAUCAUAUGAUCGAAAUCAUUUAUAUAAUUCAACUUAAACCAAAUUAAAUAAGUAAAUCUUAGUCAAAAAUCAAGCAAGAGUAGCACCAGCCUUGCACCACCGAAGCGCAGCAACCAUGAAGCAUAGUGAUGCGCAGCAACCAUGAAGCAUAGUGAUUCCUAUUCAUCUUCAAGUCCUUCAUUUAAAACAGGGAGUAGACAAAAAAUCAGCAUGGUUCACCGAGUUCAUGAGAGACAUAAAGCAAUAUAAAUAAAGAUGCAGCACAAAGCAAUCCAACUGCAUACCUCAGAAUGCCAUUUCUCAGGAUCAGACACACCAAUAAUGCAAUCUAUCAUCGAGUUCUGCACAACCAAACAAAAUUAAACAAAGAAACACACAAGUGAAUGAAAGAAACCUGGAAAUGUUGCACAAGAGUAUUCAAGUGAUCAUUGCUACAAAACAUAGUGGAGAAAAGGGAAGAAGUGAAAACCUUGUCGAGAUUGUUUGGAUGGAGAGUGGAACCAUAAACACAACAGAACUCAACUGGGGGUAGAAUUUCCAGCAAACCAUUUAGCUCCGAUGUACCAUAUUGUAGAUCAAUAAUAUGCAGAGGUUGGCCGCGGGCACAAGCUGAAACUGUGAAAUUAAUCUAGUACAAUUUUGUUUAGGCUUGUGAAAUUCGUUUACAAAAGUACAUAAACAUGUCAAUUUUUUUUUUUUUUUGCUCGAGUCCAAAAUAUGUGCUUUUUUUAAAUAAUAAAUAUAUGCAUGCUAUACAUUGUGAUAUUGCAUUUGCACAUAAUAGCAAGUCAUCUGUCACGUUUACUUUGUGUACACACUAUCUAAAGUUGUUAAUUGCAAGCCUGGCUAAGUUUGUUUGGAUUACACAUUAUUUACAUCUUAUUUAUGCACACUGAUUUGCUUGUAUCAUUAAUAAAUUUUUCAAUCAUUUUUUUAUCUUACAUAUAUCAUAUAAAAAAAGUGCUACAGUAUUUUUUUACAAAAUUAUCUCAAAUAAACUACUAUCCAAACACUGUUGUAAUAUGACAUGUAAGAAAGCUGUUGCAACAAUUUUUUCAUUACUCUUUGGAAAAUAGCGAUAGUGUCAAAGGAUAUCAAACAGAAUAAUGCAGCUCACUCCUUUACAAAGCCCUAACAUGUCAUUUGGCAUACUAGUUUUUUUUUCGUCAAUAAGCAAUUUUUAUACUAUUUCUAUUUCUACUCUUAUGUUAACUUAUCUAAGAAAAGUCUAACCAAGUCAAGAAAAUCGACAAAAACUAAAUCACCGUCGAACGAGAUGCAUGCGUAGGAGUGCAAUCAAGUCAAGCCGCUCGCGAAUAGCUUGCGAGCGGCUUGCGUCAAAAGUUUGGCUCGAGUUCUCAAACCAAACUCGAGCUACUCGUUACAUUCAACAAGUCGAGUUCGAGUUUCAAAAAUAAAUACUCGAGUGCUCGACGAGUUUAAUCGAGUUUUAAUAUUAUAUUUAUAUUAUAUUCAUAAUAUAUUUAAUUUAUUAUUUUGAGAAAAUUUUUAUAGGUUUAAUUCAAAACUCGAGCUCGAGUUCGAGUAUAACGGACUUGAUAUUUACUCGAGUUCAAACAAGUCGAGCUCGAGUUUAAUUUUAUUUUAUCGAGUCAAGCUCGAGUCCAAAUUUAUUUAUUCGUUCGAGCUCAAGUAGCAUUGAUUGUGAUCGAGUUCGAGCUCGAGUAUGUACUACUCGAGCUCGACUCGGCUUGAUAACACCCCUACACAUGCCUGCCACCCCGUUUUACAUACUAGAUGAUUUACACCAAUUUGCCAGUCAAUGAUGCUUUAGUUAGUAGGGUAACUUGAAUUCAAAUGUUCUGAAUACGAAAUUAAUUCCCUACCAACAGCAGCGUCAAACAUAAUUUUGAAUUAAAAAAAAUUAAAAGUGUUCAUCGUACCACGAUCCUAAUUCAUUAUCUGGACAAAUGUGCCACAAUCUUAGGAGUAAUUGCGGUGGAUUUGAAGAAAACAGGCAGAGGAAGGAAAUCAGAAAUCUAGGCGAUGAAACUAUCGGUGCAAUUGCCUGCCAGAUAUUGGGACGCUCUUAUGGCGCGUGACUGCAAUAUGACAAGAACUCUAAUAGCUAGUUUGGGAGUUUAGGAUAGAAAAAAAAAAGAAAAGAAACCUUAACAAGGAUGAGAAGAGAAAAGAAAAGAAAAGAUUUUGAUGUUAUUUGGGAGUUUAAAGAAGAGAUUGGAAAGAUUUUGAAUAUAUAUGUCAUUAAAAAUUUGUUCAAUAACCAUUUAGGGACAUAAUUGGUAUUUUGAGAAAAAUUUUCCACUUUCCGUCCAAUCAGCCCAAAAUGGGCGUAAGGCUUUUCCUGCUAUAGCCUCAAAAUGGAUCUGAUCAAAUCGGUACAUUUCCUUUCUUUUCUGACAUCAAAAAUCUCCAUAACGAAUAGAAAAUUAAUUUCCUCUAUUAUUUUCUUUUCUGUUUUGGUCAAAUCUCUCCUCCCAAACGCCCUAUAAAUCCUACGUGCAGCAAAAGUCGUGUUGGUUUGGUCGCAUCUGACUAGUGUAUUCGAGCUCGAGAUCAGAGUGUAUUACUUGCGUUCGAAUUUGAACUUGACCUCGACGAAUUCUCGAUUUCGAAUCUUGAAUUCGAUCGCGUAAAAAAAUGGAAUGCUUAAAAUUGAGAUUGAGUUUGCCCAAAAAAUAAAUAGAGAUAGAGUGAUAAAGCAUGUAAUUUUAUUCUAAAUUGUAUAAACGUUAACAGUGUAUACACUAUAAAAAAAAUAUGAGUGAACUUUCAAAGGUUGAAUUUGAACUUGAACAUGUAUUAUCGGAGUUUGAACUUGAUGAACUCGAUGAACUCUUGAUUUUGAAACUUGAGCUUGACCGUAUAAAAAAAUAGAAUGGUUGAAGUCGAACUUGAAUUCGCUCAAAAAGCAGAUUGAGAUAGAGUGAUAAAACAUGUAAUUUGUUCUAAAUCUUAUGUACGUUAACAAUAUAUAUAUUAGGGUUAAUCACAUUUUAUCCCCCUAAAGAAUACCCCAUUUUUCAGUUUACUCCCUAAUCUUUAAUUUUACUCACUUAACUCCCUUUAGGACAAAAUUGCCCUUGCAUAUAUUUUGAUUUUUCCUUUACCUUAUUUUCCUUUCUUUUAUUUCUUUUUCACUUUCUUCUUUAUUUAAUUCUUCCUCUUUCCCACAAAAAUCUUUACCUUAAUGAUUGAAAUUAAAAAAGAGGAAUUGCGGAGAUCUAUCUUCUCCUUAAAUGAUUAAAAAAAUAUUCAAAUCACUUUCCUAAAAUACAAUUUUUUUAGCCUUUCAAUUCCUUUAAUUUUGGGUUUUCCUCUUUCCUUUUUAGUUUCUCAUUUUAUUCUCAAGAAAAUAUCAUAAGAUGAAGUUGUAAAAUACGUGUCAUUUAGCUCUUAUUUCAAGUCAUCUACUGAAACGUGGUGCGUUGAUGUAAAUGGUUUUUGGUGUUUGUUUUGAUGUAGAAGCAAUAACAAGAAGCGUAUCAAUCUAAGCGAUACCACCUACAAUUUGGAAAGCCAAAUGCGAAGCUGUAGAGCAAAAGUUUAGGCGUACAAAGUUUUAAAAGUGGUAAACGCCUACAACAAUCUAAGUCUGCACUUUCAAUUGAUGGAUGUUCCAAACUUUUACAAAUCCCUAGAUCCUAUCUAAGUCUGCAAGGAUUCCAUGUUUCUUAGUUUUCAGAGUAACUCGCACAUAUUUGCCUCCCCUGCUGCCUUUUUCUUCCAAUAGUGCCUUAAGCCUGAAUUCUCAGUAUCUAGCGUUGAGCACUGGUUCAAGUUAUUGGAUAUAGCUUCUUGAAAAGGACAAUUUGGGUGCUCUAGUUUGUAGUUCCCAGGUGUUGGUUUACCCGCUUGACAAACUGAUGAAAAUAAUUGCUUAGAGAUCAAUCAUUCUAAGUUUCUGGUGAAACAUUUUGCAAGAACUUACUUAUAAAACAAUUUUAAGAUAUAUAUAACAACAGGUCAAUGGACGUGAAAUGUAAUGAAUCUCAUAUGGGCUGACUGAAUAAAUAGCUCAAUCUUACUGUCUGAUGCAGGUUUUUUAUGUGUCCAGGAAGCUGCUAAUGUGCAGUUCAAACGAUAGCUUCAUUAUCCUGCUGAAUUCUGAUAAAAUUAGAUACAAAACUUCUGAAGUAAAGCUCUGAAUUACGAAAGCACAGACCUGUGAUUCAGUCCACUAUACAAUGUCUACGCUAGCAAAGUUGCGCUGUGUCACACUGAUGAUGUUACUGGUACACUGAUAGCAUAUAAGGGCGAGCUUGGUGAUUACUACUGCAUGGCAGCUAAAGCUGUUGGUUUGCCAUGUCCUGACUACAAACGAGUUCAUGAGGGCUUUAAGCUUGCAUAUACUGACAUGGCAAAGAAACAUCCAUGUUUUGGGUUUGCAGAAAAUAUCCCAAACAUAGUUUGGUGGAAGAGUUGUGUGAGAGACUCUUUUGUUAAGGUAUAACGAUAUGCAGGAGCACGAAUUCUACUUAUUUUUUAUUUGGUUCAUUGAACUCUUUUUCUGUGGAGCAAUUUACUAACAAGGAGAUGAGAUAAGAUUUGAUCUUGUGGUGUCCACUGUGUCACAGGUUUCCUUCUUGUCAGAAUAUUCCAUAUGGUUAUGAAGGCAAUUGCUUUUGUAGAUAUGGCAUUGCAAAAUGUACAAACUCUAGGAAGGAUGACAUAUUUUAAGCAUAGGAAAGGACAGGAUGGCUGUUUCCUAAGAAGAUCAAGAGACUUGGUGCAUUGAUCCUCCCCAGAAAGGAUUGAAAUAGUGAACUUCGAUUAGCAUAAUGUCACUUUUGAGGUUAGGGUGGAGUUAUUUUCCGGAUAUAGAUUUCUUUGUGGACUACCGAUGCUUUUGUUGCAGGAAUUUUUGGAGCAUUUUGAUAAACUUUUUUUGAAGUGUAGACAAAAAUGUCGACACUAUAUGUGCUAAAAAAUUGAAGAAAAACCUGUAGAAUAGGUUGAAAUACUACUCAAAUCACUUCUCGACUUAUGCACUAAAAAGGGAAGAUUGCUGUUUAGAAAUCAUCAGGGGGAAGGCAACUGUGAGCAUAGUCUAUACCACUAGGGGAAAGAUUAAUAUAUGCAUCUCGCAAUUCACGACCAUAUCAGCAGCAACUUUACACAACCAGGAAACAAGAAAUGGAUACCAUAUCUGCCUUUUCACAAUUCAAAGGAUACUUCAUCCUGAACUUUGCAUUGGAUAACCACAGCAACAAAGGAUCUGAACAAUUGUCAAGCACAAUUGUUUCAGACAAUCGAUGGUUAUUAUUUUGGCAGAACAACAUAUUCUUUUCCUCAGGUAAUAAGAUCAUUCGCGUUGACAGACAUUCUUGGAACGUACACUAGUAUAUUUUCUGACCGUAUGUAGAACUGGAUAACAAUAAUGAGACUGUAUAAAAGUUAAUUUAAUCUAUGGGUUGGGAUUUCCUGUAUCUUCUUCAUCAACAGUCUUCGAAGAUUUUUGAUGAGCCAAGUCAUAAGUAGCAUGUAAACCAACAAAGACAUAAUAAAUCAACAUUACCACUGUACAUAUUCCAAACCUUAUGAAAGCCUCAGCACCUAGAGAUCCCAUGAGAAACAAAUUUGUAGCAAUGGAUAAGGAAGGCAGCCACGGAACAAGUGGAACACCCCAGACCUUUGGUGCUCUCUGCUGUGGCAAGAAAACUGAAAUCCCCAGAGUCGCAAAAAACCAGAGAGGAAUUGUCAUAGUGUAACCGAGCCACCCUUUUGGAUUUAAGCCCCAGUAAGCAGAAGUUCCCAUGGAGGAAGCAAUGAUAAGAAGUAAGAAGAUCAUCAGCUUCAAGGCAUCCCUCUGAGGAGUUAUUCCUCUAGCAUAGUACCUUCUCACAAGAAGAGCAACAGACAUCAUCAUGAAGAUAAAUAGGGUGCUAACGAUAGGAGACUUGACAGGACACCUAAGCCUGAAAAGAAAGCGAUACAGGAACCAGAAAUGGUGAUCAAAAGAGUAGCAUAUAUAGGAGUUCCUGUCACCGGAUGGACAAGUGAAAACCAUGGAGGAAUCAUAUGUGCUCGCGCGAUGUGAGUAAUGUAUCGUCCUUGUCCAAGUGCACCUACCAAUAAAACAGUGGUCAUUCCUUGAGAGCUCCCAGGGCAACCAGAUACUUUGCCCAGUUCAUACCCACACUCUGAAAUGCAACUGAGUAGGCAGCAUUUGGGUCAAUAUCUGUAUACUUCUGCAUCAUACUAAGUGAAAGUGCCAUCAGACAGUAUAUCACUGUGAUCAGUGACAUUGAUCCAAGCAAUCCUAGUGGUAUAUCUCUUGAUGGAUUUCUCGUCUCUUCAGCCAUAGUUGCUAUGUUGUCAAAUCCUCCAUAUGCAAAAUAUACAAUUGCUGCCGCUUGGAAGACCCCUUCAGCACCAUGGGGCAAAAAGGGGGACAGAUUGGUGGUGUCGGCAUGAGCAAAUCCUGCUAUUAUAACAAAUAUAAUUACAAUGUUGUUGAUUGCAGAUGCAAUCCAAUUGAAGUAUGAAGUCUUCUUUGGCUGGUCAUGGCAAUAGUACUGGCAACUACGAGAACUACAACUGCAAUUGGAUCUAACAGGUUAUAUCCGUCAGCAAGAUUUGUAUGGAUUCGCAAUGAAUUGGGAUGGCGAUUAAGGAGGGUUGUAAAGUAUGAAGUCCAAGCUCUUGCUACUGCUGCAUUUCCAACCAUGCACUCAAGAAGUAUAUUUCCUGCUGCUAUGAAGGCUGCAAAAUCUCCUAGUUCUACUCUGAGGUAAGCAAAUGACCCUCCAGCUACUGGAAUUUCCACUGCAAAUUCAGUGUAGCAAAAGACUGACAGCAUUGCAGAAAUGCCUGAAGCAACAUAGGAUAACACAAUAGCCGGUCCGGCAUGCUUAUGAGCUUCCUGGCCAGUGAGUACAAAGAUGCCAGCCCCAAUAACUGAGCCAAAUCCAAACCAGAUGAGAUCCCACCAACUCAGGCAUUUUUUCAUGUCAUUCUCGCUUUCUUUCCUGACCUCCCCAACUUCAUUAGCAUCAUCAGACCUACCUACAAGACGGUCCUUGAAUCGAAGCAGCCAGUCUGUGAUAAGGCAGACCUGUAGUUACUCCAGCUCUGGAAGGAUUCUUCAGGAAAGAAGUCUUUUUUGCUCCAUCUCCAAUAACUCCUUGGUUGAGCCUCAUUGAUACUUUCUUUUCCGACUGACCCCAUUUGCUAGCUUUUCUCAAGUGACUUGCUUUCAAGACUACAGCAAAGCUAGAGUUCAAUCUGUUUCAAUUGAUAUUAGACUUGUAAAGAGGUCUAUAAUCUGUGUCUUGCUCUGUUAAUGCCAAUUAAUUACAGAUGUGGGUACUCCAGCAAACAACUUGCAAUUUGAUAUUCCGAGUGAAAUAGGCAGAUUAAAUGCGUUUCUUGUCUUCUUCUAUUAUUGAUUUUCCAAGAUCCUGUCCUCUUUAAUUUUUUCCAUUUUCUCUAGUGUCAUCUAAUGUGGGCAGAAGACCACCCACAAUAUCUCAUCCUGAUUGCUAGGUGCUUUAAAUUGCGGUAGGUUUGCCUUCUAUUAUUACACACGUCCAAGCUGUGGGGUUCCUCUCAUUGUUUGGUCAAAUGCAUCGUGGUAUAUUUUCAAGUUGAUUAUAACCUUCUCAAUUAUAAGCCUAAGUUGUGAGAGAUGCAGUCAAUUCUGCAGAGUUUCAAACCUCCAAAUAGAAGUCAAGACUCAUGACUUUUUCCUAACUGGUUCAAGAGUUAAAAUCACUACUCUUUUUCAAGAGUUAAAAAGACUUCAGUGUGAUCGUCUUGCUAUCUGUUCACUUGCACAAAGCAUUUAAUUUAUCUUUGGCUGUGGAAAACUCUGAACUGGUAGCUUUCAUAUUUCAAGGCUGUUUUAUCAAAUAUUCAGGAGUUAUAGUGCUCAAUUUUUUGGUUGAUAUUGCUUUCCUCCAUUUCAUUUUUUUUUUUUUUUAUCGAAACGUUAGAAUCAUUUCAUUCAAAAUGCUAAAAAACACAGUACGAGCAAAGGCUCCAUUUCAUGUUAUUUCGAUUUUUGUUUCUUUGGGUCAGUUGCUUUCUACCUCUAACUUCAGCCAUAAAAAUCUGAGAACGUUGGCAACAAAGAUGGUUGAACCCAAAAAAUUAUAAGCAAGUGGCAUGAUCAGACUCAUAUGCCUGCAUGCUCUUAAAGAAUCCAAGACGAGAAGACAAAAAAUGACAGCCAAGAAUCUGAACUUAUCCUAAACAUUUGUCUUUGCAAUCAAUUAUGAUUAGACUAGUAGACCGAGACAGUAAUCAUGGUUCAUGGCAGAAAACAUUUAUAUGACAUUAACUUUUCUUUGGUCAUGUUUGAAUUGUUUGUUUUCGUUGGAAAUAUUAUUUUUUAUGAUCACAUUUUUUUAUAUCUUUUCUUUUACAUAUAUCAAAUUGUUACAAUAAUUUUUUCAUGAAAAAUGAUGAAAAAUACAAUGCAAAUACAGCCUUUAUUUUCCUGUCCUGUUCCAUUCUCAGUACCUUACUUAUGUGGGUGAACCACAUUAAGAAUUGUCUUUGACUUGUCACUUGUCAGGCCUCUUGCUUUAUCUUGAAAUGAACGAAGAGUCACUAUCUUGCCGUCCCUUGUGUCUUUUCUUCUUCUUUUCCCUCAAUUCCUGAAAAUCCCAUAUCAUUUGCCUAGGACCACUCUAAUUUGUGACAAUGAGAGAUUAUGUAUGAUGUUAAUGACUUGUUUGUUGUCUGUAUUGAAACAUGGCCUCCAAGAUGAUCAUGACCAUUUCACACCAAAAAAAAUUAAAGAACAAAAAAAAAAAAGAAAGCAGGAUCAGAUGCCCAUAAAAAAUUGUGAGCUGAUCCAGCAUGAUUGUGAGCUUCCUGGCCUGGCCAGUGAGCACAAAGAUGCAAACCAGAUGAGAUCCCACCAACUCAGGCUUGUUUGACAUUGAAAUUCUAAUCAGUGAUGGUCAUUGAUGAAUGAUGAUACUCCAUUAUUUAUUUUCUUUCAUGGGACCAGGACGGAUCUAUUUUUUGACUUUUGGAACAGCAAUGCAAUUCCAAUGAUAAUUGCGACCCUCUUGUCUAUAUAGCCUUUUUCAAGUCAACAUUUUGGAAUACACAACGAAUCAAAAUACAAAAACUCUUGACUAUUACGACCUUUUUCUCUUUUUUCCUUUUUCCGUUUUUGGUCAAGCACAAGACUCAAAGCUAUUGGUUUCGAGGUGUAGAGUUGCCUUGGUCAUGAUUUAUGUUUGCGGCUAAUGAAGGAAUUAUUUGUGUGUCUGUUGCUUGGGGAGUUAGAGUUUUAUAGCAAAUCUCCUUUUUCCAGUUAAAGAAUUGGUGGCCUAUCAUUUGCACCAUCAUCAGAGUCUCAUGUCUUUUGCCAUUCCAAAUUACCAAAGGGGAACUUUGUAACUCUCCAUCUUUCACAUUCAUUAGCUUUAUACUUCAACUGAAUCUUGUAAUUAAGAGGCAAAGUUUGUAUCCAACUGGAGUUGUAUUAGGAUUUUCUAGUAACCAAGUAUGAAACUUUCCACCAUCUUGAAGGUAGUUUUCCACCUGUUUUGUUUCCUUUUGUUUACCUUUUCUGGGGUAUAUGGGAAAGUGAUCACAAGUUCACAAGGCAUGUUAUCACAUUUUACAUAAAACUGCAGUUUAUAGAGCAUGUAAUCACAUGUUAAACUUAUAUAUACAAGCUAAUAAACUCAAACACUUCAAGACACAGCAAAUUUACCACAAAAUGCAACAAUACCAAUGGUGGCAGCAGCCAAUAGCCCAGCACUGUAGAACACCGAAUGGAUGGAUAAUACAAGAGCAAAGGCAACAGUUUACCUCGCUAUUGAAGCUAGCAAGGCUGACUACUGCAAUCAUCAGCGAUAAUGAAAUAACAGUAAACUGUCAGUUUGAAAAAGCCGCAUUUCAAUACACUCUUCCAGAUUGUAAAAUUCAUCAUCUUGAUAGGCAAUUAGCAAGAGAUGUGGGAAAACUAGCCCCUACAGGUAAUCAACUCUCUUUUACCUAGACAUGCUGUAAAGCUAGCAUAUUAUCUACUACCCACAUUAGCAGUAAGUGCAACACAAUAUUAUACUUAUACAUACACUGUAGCAAAAAGAACAGGCAGCCACGGCUUUGCAUGAAGAUUUUCCUUAAGGGAUUGAAUGAUGGUUGAAAGCACUACUUAUAAAGCUAAGAUUUUCUUUGCAUUGGAUCAAAGGUACACCAUCUUCCCGCCAGAUUAUCCUUUCUUCACAUAAUGCUGCCACAACCUCUUUAUACAAUUUAUGUUCCU
rnacentral:lncRNA from 1 species